rnacentral:tRNA from 1 species
UUAUACUCUAGUGUAGUGGCACAUUAGAUUUUGAUUCUUGAGGUAAUGGGGCUAUCCCAUUGAGUAUAAU